UGCCAGCAGCCGCGGUAAUACGCAGGGACCUAGCGUAGUUCGGAAUUACUGGGCUUAAAGAGUUCGUAGGUGGUUGAAAAAGUUGGUGGUGAAAUCCCAGAGCUUAACUCUGGAACUGCCAUCAAAACUUUUCAGCUAGAGUAUGAUAGAGGAAAGCAGAAUUUCUAGUGUAGAGGUGAAAUUCGUAGAUAUUAGAAAGAAUACCAAUUGCGAAGGCAGCUUUCUGGAUCAAAACUGACGCUGAGGUACGAAAGCGUGGGGAGCGAACAGGAUUAGAUA
rnacentral:rRNA from 1 species